rnacentral:rRNA from 1 species
AUUGAACGCUGGCGGCAUGCUUUACACAUGCAAGUCGAACGGUAACAGGCCUUCGGGCGCUGACGAGUGGCGAACGGGUGAGUAAUGCAUCGGAACGUGCCCAGUCGUGGGGGAUAACGCAGCGAAAGCGGUGCUAAUACCGCAUACGAUCUAUGGAUGAAAGCGGGGGACCGUAAGGCCUCGCGCGAUUGGAGCGGCCGAUGUCAGAUUAGGCAGUUGGUGGGGUAAAGGCUCACCAAGCCAACGAUCUGUAGCUGGUCUGAGAGGACGACCAGCCACACUGGAACUGAGACACGGUCCAGACUCCUACGGGAGGCAGCAGUGGGGAAUUUUGGACAAUGGGCGCAAGCCUGAUCCAGCAAUGCCGCGUGCAGGAAGAAGGCCUUCGGGUUGUAAACUGCUUUUGUACGGAACGAAACGGCGAGCUCUAAUACAGUUUGCUAAUGACGGUACCGUAAGAAUAAGCACCGGCUAACUACGUGCCAGCCGCCGCCGUAACAC